UCCCUCUCCCCGCCUCCUGCCCGGCGCCAUGAGUGGCAGUGGCGCGGACCCCGAGGUGGUCCCGGCCUCUGCCCCUGCCCCGCCGGGCCCGGCCCCGACUCCCACCCCCACCCCUGCUCCAGCCCCGACCCCAGCACCGGCGCCGGCUCCCGCCCCGGCAGAGAGCAAGGCCAGUCCCGCAGGAGGCGCAGGCCCUGGCCGGGGGGAUACGUCUGACCGGCGGGCCUCGGUCCCAGUAUCCGCAGCUGGGGGUACAGCCCCCCCUGAAGGUGCCAUGUCUAACGGGGUGUACGUGUUACCUGGUGCUGCCAAUGGAGAGGUCAAGCCUGUUGUGUCUAGUACACCACUGGUGGACUUCCUUAUGCAGCUAGAAGACUACACACCCACAAUUCCAGAUGCUGUUACUGGCUACUACCUGAACCGUGCUGGUUUUGAAGCCUCUGAUCCCAGAAUCGUCCGGCUCAUCUCCCUGGCAGCCCAGAAGUUCAUCUCUGACAUUGCCAAUGAUGCUUUACAACACUGCAAGAUGAAGGGCACUGCCUCAGGCAGCUCCAGGAGCAAGAGCAAAGACCGAAAGUAUACUUUGACCAUGGAAGACCUGACCCCUGCACUCAGCGAGUAUGGCAUUAAUGUCAAGAAGCCACAUUAUUUCACCUAAGCCCAACUCUUCCCCGGCUGGCCGGGAUGUGUGUGGGAUGGGCACAAUCAUAUCAAACUUGGGCCUCUUGGCUGGGUCCUCAUUCAUGCAGAUCUUCAUGAGUUUACACACAUGUGGGGAGAUACCUGGAGGAAUGGUGGGUCGAAGGCCUUCCAGGGCAACCUACAAGCAGCAAGAAUCCCCAGGGCUGGGUCAAGAGGAGAGGAUUGAGAUGAGAACCCUGAUUCUUCCCGUCCCCCACUCCCCACUAAAUCUGCUGUCUUCUGGCUUCAUCCCCCCCUACCCUCAGGAGCCACCCAGGCAGGGGCAUACAUGCGCCCUGGACACUGGAAGGAGAAUUUCACGUCAGCCAUGCUGAUACGGGCAGUCAUAUCCUCGUCGAUCUGAGGGAAAAGAUGAAGGCUUGUUGUAGUGGGGAUUUGUGCUCAAGUGACAACUGGAUUAGAUAUCCAACAUAGCCUGCUGCCUUAAGCCUCACCAUGACACUUCGGCUGUUGAGGGCAUGCCGGGGUAUAAGGGGCUCCAGUGUGUGCAGGAAGGCCAUGCCCCGUGCCAUAUCCAGAGCAAACUUGACAGCUUGAGUCUGGUCAACAACAAAAUCUAGGGAAGGAAAGUUCAGAGAAGGUGGAAGGAGUUACCCUAAGUCUAAUCCUAGCCACCCCUUUGCCUCAGACCAGACAACCAGCUUCAGAUUCCUAUUCCCUCCCCACCCUCUGGUGUUCACAGCUCUAAUCCCAGCCUUUUCUGGGCAUGAUGAUACAACUCACUGGUCCCUUCAUGAAGUACGUUGUAGAGGGAGCCAUAAGGCAUCCAGUGGGUGAUGAGAACAGGGUGGGGGGCAGGGGGUGCCUGGCAGGCUCCCAACACAGGCAGCACAUUGGGGUGUGAAAAAAUCCUGCAAAGAUAAGACAGAAUUUACAUGUUGCUCUGUCCCUUUAGCUCCCCACCUCCCCAUGCACCCAACUCCCCCACCUCAGCUUUGGAUACUCCUCAUUAAAGUCUCUGCUCUUUCUUGUA